AACCUAGCACACCUGCGGUGUGUACCUGCGGAAGGAUCAUUACUGAGUUUACAACUCCCAACCCAUGUGAACAUACCUUUUGUUGCUUCGGCGGGAUGCCCCCGGCGCCUAGUGUGCCCGGGAAUCAGGCCCCCGCCGGAGGACCCAAACUCUUGUUUUUAUAUAGAACUUCUGAGUGGAUUAUUUUAAUAAUUAAAACUUUUAACAACGGAUCU
rnacentral:misc_RNA from 1 species